rfam:Listeria monocytogenes EGD-e, complete genome
CAGUUAAUGGGAAAAAGUCGCCUGGACGUGGUUUUUUAGAACCUACUGCGGCUGUUAAAACAACCGUAUCGCCGUAACGAAUUAAGGCUGCCCCACUUGCUUGUUUUGCUAAUUGACCUACUUCAACAGAUAAUGUUUUACCUGCCCACUCUGUUGAAAAUACUUGUUUUUCAGACAUAUUUUACUCUCCUUUGAUUAGGAAAAACACGAACCAGAAACUUUACCAUGCAUAAGAAUGUUCACGCACACUUUAGAUUGUCUAAAGCACACAUGAAUCCAAAAACCUGCUAAAAAUAGCAAAUUUUUGAAGCACGUUUUUGGAUUCAUG